GAUGAACGCUGGCGGUAUGCUUAACACAUGCAAGUCGAACGGACUCUUCGGAGUUAGUGGCGGACGGGUGAGUAACGCGUGAGAAUCUGGCUUUGGGUUCGGGACAACCACUGGAAACGGUGGCUAAUACCGGAUGUGCCGAGAGGUAAAAGAGAAAUUGCCUGCAGAUGAGCUCGCGUCUGAUUAGCUAGUUGGUGAGGUAAAGGCUCACCAAGGCAGCGAUCAGUAGCUGGUCUGAGAGGAUGACCAGCCACACUGGGACUGAGACACGGCCCAGACUCCUACGGGAGGCAGGAGGGGGGAAUUGUCCGCAAUGGGCGAAAGCCUGACGGAGCAAUACCGCGUGAGGGAAGAAGGCUCGUGGGUUGUAAACCUCUUUUCUUAGGGAAGAACAAAAUGACGGUACCUAAGGAAGCAGCAUCGGCUAACUCCGUG
rnacentral:rRNA from 1 species